rnacentral:lncRNA from 1 species
GUAAGCGGCCUCUUUUUACUCUCUUCUCCAACCUCCCUCACUAUCCCUCAACCUCUUUCUCCUUUCAAUCUUGGCGCCACACUUCAAUCUCUCCCUUCUCUUAAUUUCAAUUCCUUUCAUCUUCUGGUAGAGACAAAGGAGACAUGUUUUAUCCGUGGACCCAAAACUCCCACGCCCGUCAUGGACUGGGAAGGCAGCCUUCCCUUGGUGUUUAAUCCUUGCAGGGAUGCCUUUCUGAUUAUUCACCCAUGUUUCAAAGGUGUCAGACCACGCAGGGACGCCUGCCUUUGUCCUUCACCCUUAGCGGCAAGUCCCACUUUUCUGGGGAAGGCGCAAGUACCCCAACCCCUUCUCUCCCUGUCUCUACCCCUUCUCUGCUUUUCUGGGGAAGGGGCAAGUACCCCUCAACCCCUUCUCUUUCACCCUGAGUGGCAAGUCCCGCUUUUCUACGGGGCAAGAACCCCCAAUCCCUUAUUUCCACGCCCCAACCUCUUAUCUCUGUGCCCCAAUCCCUUAUUUCCGUGUCCCAACCUCUUAUCUCUGCACCCCAAUCCCUUAUUUCCACGCCCCAACCUUGUAUCUCUGUGCCCCAAUCCCUUAUUUCCACGCCCCAACCUCUUAUAUCUCUGCACCCCAAUCCCUUAUUUCCAUGCCCUGACCUCUUAUUUCUGCGCCCCAUCCCUUAUUUCUGCACCCUGACCUCUUAUCUCUGCGCCCCAACCCCUUUCCCACUUUUCUGGAAGGUAAGAACCCCUGAACCCCUUCCCUCCAUUUCUCUACUCUUUCUUUUCUCUAGGCUUGCUUCCUUCACUAUGGGCAAUCUUCCACCCUCCAUUCCUCCUUCUACUCCCUUGGCCUGUGUUCUCAAAAACUUAAAACCUCUUCAAUUCACACCUGACCUAAAACCUAAAUGCCUUAUUUUCUUCUGCAAUGCCGCUUGACCCCAAUACAAACUCGACAGUAGUUCCAAAUAGCCAGAAAAUGGCACUUUGAAUUUUUCCAUCCUGCAAGAUCUAAAUAAUUCUUGUCGUAAAAUAGGCAAACAGUCUUAGGUGCCUGACGUCCAGGCAUUCUUUUACAUAUCAGUCCCUUCCUAGUCUCUGUGCCCAGUGCAACUCGUCCCAAAUCUUCCUUCUUUCCCUCCCACCUGUCCCCUCAGUACCAACGCCAAGCGUUGCUGAGUCUUUCUAAUCUUCCUUUUCUAUAGACCCAUAUGACCUCUCCCUUCCUCCCCAGGCUGCUCCUCGCCAGGCCGAGCUAGUUCCCAAUUCUUCCUCAGCCUCUCCUCCUCCACCCUAUAAUCUUUUUAUCACCUCCCCUCCUCACACCUGGUCCGGCUUACAGUUUCGUUCCGUGACUAGCCCUCCCCCUCCUGCCCAGCAACUUACUCUUAAAAAUGUGGCUGGAGCCAAAGGCAUAGUCAAGGUUAAUGCUCCUUUUUCUUUAUCCCAAAUCGGAUAGCGUUUAGGCUCUUUUUCAUCAAAUAUAAAAAUCCAGCCCAGUUCAUGACUUGUUUGGCAGCAACCCUGAGACGCUUUACAGCCCUAGACCCUAAAAGGUCAAAAGGCCGUCUUAUUCUCAAAAUACAUUUUAUUACCCAAUCUGCUCCCGAUAUUAAAUAAAACUCCAAAAAUUAAAUUCCGGCCCUCAAACCCUACAACAGGAUUUAAUUAACCUCGCCUUCAAGGUGUACAAUAAUAGAAAAAAGUUGCAAUUCCUUGCCUUCACUGUGAGACAAACCCCAGCCAUGUCUCCAGCACACAAGAACUUCCAAACGCCUGAACCGCAGCGGCCAGGCGUUCCUCCAGAACCUCCUCCCCCAGGAGCUUGCUACACUUGCCGGAAAUCUGGCCACUGGGCCAAGGAAUGCCCGCAGCCCGGGAUUCCUCCUAAGCCACGUCCUAUCUGUGUGGGACCCCACUGAAAAUCAGACUGUUCAACUCACCUGGCAGCCACUCCCAGAGCCCCUGGAACUCUGGCCCAAGGCUCUCUGACUGACUCCUUCCCAGAUCUUCUCGGCUUAGCGGCUGAAGACUGACACUGCUCAAUCACCUUGGAAGCCCCCUAGACCAUCACGGACGCCGAGCUUCAGGGGAGAGGGAAAAUCAUUUGGGGACAGCCAACUUCUUCCUUGAGCGGUGCAGUUAUAAUCAUGCAUUGUGCCCUCUGUGAGUGCUUCUUUCUCCUUUGAAAUUCUUCAGUGGGUUCUUCAGCAUCGCCCACUCUGUUGCUGGAGACCACCCAUUGUGCCCUUGGAUGGCGUGCCCAAUAUCCUUGGCCAGCUGGCUGCAUUCCCCACUCAGCUACUGAUUGUUGAUUGUUGUGCUUCACGAACUUCCCGCUGAGCGUCCUCUCAUCCUGGGGUGGAGAGCAGGCCCAUCACGGGGCUCCCACCUGCCUGCCUGCCAUACUGUCCAUGCCAGUGCCUGAGAAACACCGCCUCUGCUCCACUUUCAGUGGGAACCAGCGUUUUGCACCCCCCUCCAUAGCCUUUUCUCUUCACUCUACCACCUGAAGCAAUUCCCACUGGGCCGCUUCUUCACCUUUAAGUUUUCCAGCAGGAGAAGACAAGGAGAUGGAGAGACUGUCAACCUAGAACCAGUAAUGACCAGUUCCAACUUAAUUACAGAAAGGGAGAAAAGAUCAAUCAUUUAAGUUGCUUCAUCGUCUAAAUAAAAGUGUUUUGGCUGUUGAAACAUGAACCUAGACUCCUGCCUCAACAUAUUUAAAAUGAGAACAAAGUGGCAGUAUCAUGGUGGUGGGCGUUUAGAUGCUUACAUUGUUUUCAUCUACAAAACAGGCUUUCCUUUCACACCCUAGCUCUUUGCUGGGCUGGUGGAGCUGAUUGACAGAUAUAGCCCGCUCCAAAGGAACAGCCCUUUCUCAAGGAAUGAAUGAUUUGCUCUAAGUAUUUAAAUCCUCUGCUCAAAAUCAAACAUAAAUUGAAGUAUCAAAAUAAACAAAAAUAUGGUUUGUGGUUUUGAAAGCAUUUCUUUGUGAUUUUUGCUAAAAAGAGAAAUGCCAAAAAAAUUUUUUUAAAGAUUUUGAGACAAUUAUCUGGCGCAGUGGCUCACGCCUGUAAUCCCAGCACUUUGGGAGGCUGAGGCAGGCAGAUCAUGAGGUCAGGAGAUCAAGACCAUCCUGGCCAACAUGUUGAAACCCCAUCUCUACUAAAAAUAUAAAAAUUAGCUGGGCAUGAUGGGCGCCUGUAAUCCCAGCUACUCAGGAGGCAGAGGCAAGAUAAUCACUUGAAUCCAGGAGGUGGGGGUUGCAAUGAGCCAAGAUCAUGCCACUGCACUCCAACCUGGGC